ACACCCUUGCAUGGGGUACUGACAUCACAAUAAGCUUCGAGAGUGAUCAAGAUUUGAUUGUCCAAAUCCUCAGCAUACUUAUAGCAAGGACAACUAGUCCCGAGUAUUUUCCUGAAUGUCGGGCAACAUGCAUCGAUUGAAGUUGUCUCGAACAUGCAUGUCUUCACUUGUUGUUGGUCACUAGCCGAGCAAAUCGUUGCCGGGGCGGGAGGUGGUGGUGAUCUUGGUGGUGGAGGUGGUGGUGAUCUCGGUGGUGGAGGUGGUGGUGAGCACGGUCGUGGUCUAGGUCGUGGUCGUGGCCUUGGCCUUGGAUGAGGGCAUGGUUGUGGCCAAGGAUACGGCCACGACAAAUGUUGACAUAGAAAAUCAAAUGGGGAUGAACCUAGUGACUCACUUCCCUCAUCGACCAAGGCGACUUCUUUCGCCAUGGUCACUUGGUGGUGGCUGCAAAUAAAAUUGCAGCCACCACUAACAUCAUGAGCAUCUUCAUAAUUGCCAUUUUUCACUAAUUAAGUGUUUGUACUAUGAAGAGAUAUCAACCAUCUAUAUAUAUACAAAAA
rnacentral:lncRNA from 1 species